AUAUCGUAUAUUAAAGUUGUUGCAGUUAAAAAGCUCGUAGUUGAAUUUUAGGCCUGGUUGGACGGUCUGCCUUAGGGUUUGUACUGUCCUGGCUGGGUCUUCCCUUCUGGUAAACUGUCGUGUCGUUUAUUCGGUGCGGCAGGGAACCAGGACUUUUACUUUGAAAAAAUUAGAGUGUUUAAAGCAGGCCUACGCCUGAAUACAUUAGCAUGGAAUAAUAAAAUAGGACUUUGGUUUUAUUUUGUUGGUUUCUAGGACCGAAGUAAUGAUUAAUAGGGAUAGUUGGGGGCAUUAGUAUUUAAUUGUCAGAGGUGAAAUUCUUGGAUUUAUGAAAGACUAACUUCUG
rnacentral:rRNA from 1 species